rfam:TPA: Bos taurus chromosome 13, whole genome shotgun sequence.
UCCCUGGUGGCUCAGAGGUUAAAGCGUCUGCCUCCAAUGCAGGAGACCCGGGUUCGAUCCCUGGGUUGGGAA